GUUUAACAGUUCGUAAUACGCUAUAGUGAGGUGUCGCUACAGUGAGCUACUCGCGCACGGCUGUGGACGGCCGACGGCGCGACCCUGUGACGACAAUAAUAUAAUACCAACUCGCGCGUCCAGUGGCGUCACCCCCACCGACGAAUGAUGUGCCGCCGCCCGAGCCGCAGCCACCCUACAACCGACCGACGCCGCUCGCACCUUUUAGCGCGUUUAUACCGAUUUCCGACACGGUGAGUUGACAAUCACACGUGCCACGCACUCGCUCCAAUACUGGAAUUUGAAUCGCUCUAUACUCAUCACACCUACGUCAUUUGAACGCUGCCUGUUUUCAUUAUUCUGUUGAGUCACUACGCACGUUCUGGGUUCGGAUCCAUACCUGUUGAGCAGAUACCAUCGUCGUCCAUACUGUAGCGUGUGAUUGGUUCAGAAUUGAAAAUGACCGUGUGGACUGAAAAUACAAUUAUUGUAACCGUAAGAGUGGAUAAUCGCUCACAAUUAAUUCGACAAAUGCAAUAUCAGAAAUACUACGAGCAGUGUAGACUGCGACAAGUGCAACAAGCAAGUUCUUCGGGACAGGUAGCCAUACCGGUACCCCCCCAAAACAUUAACCACCAGCGACUGCGGCAUGCCACAGUUCCAAGCCGCCGGAUACCGGCCGAGCCACAGGGAGCUCGUCGUCACUAGUCAGUUGUCAAAAACUACUCGUUUAUGAUUCAUUAAUAUAAUAUUAUUAUUUACAGUACUUGAUUGAUUCAGAGAUUUUAAUUCAUUGUUAUCAAUAUUUUUUAAGUAA